rnacentral:rRNA from 1 species
GCUUCUUUUUCCCCGGAGCUUGCUCCACCGGAAAAAGAAGAGUGGCGAACGGGUGAGUAACACGUGGGUAACCUGCCCAUCAGAAGGGGAUAACACUUGGAAACAGGUGCUAAUACCGUAUAACAAUCGAAACCGCAUGGUUUUGAUUUGAAAGGCGCUUUCGGGUGUCGCUGAUGGAUGGACCCGCGGUGCAUUAGCUAGUUGGUGAGGUAACGGCUCACCAAGGCCACGAUGCAUAGCCGACCUGAGAGGGUGAUCGGCCACAUUGGGACUGAGACACGGCCCAAACUCCUACGGGAGGCAGCAGUAGGGAAUCUUCGGCAAUGGACGAAAGUCUGACCGAGCAACGCCGCGUGAGUGAAGAAGGUUUUCGGAUCGUAAAACUCUGUUGUUAGAGAAGAACAAGGAUGAGAGUAACUGUUCAUCCCUUGACGGUAUCUAACCAGAAAGCCACGGCUAACUACGUGCCAGCAGCCGCGGUAAUACGUAGGUGGCAAGCGUUGUCCGGAUUUAUUGGGCGUAAAGCGAGCGCAGGCGGUUUCUUAAGUCUGAUGUGAAAGCCCCCGGCUCAACCGGGGAGGGUCAUUGGAAACUGGGAGACUUGAGUGCAGAAGAGGAGAGUGGAAUUCCAUGUGUAGCGGUGAAAUGCGUAGAUAUAUGGAGGAACACCAGUGGCGAAGGCGGCUCUCUGGUCUGUAACUGACGCUGAGGCUCGAAAGCGUGGGGAGCAAACAGGAUUAGAUACCCUGGUAGUCCACGCCGUAAACGAUGAGUGCUAAGUGUUGGAGGGUUUCCGCCCUUCAGUGCUGCAGCUAACGCAUUAAGCACUCCGCCUGGGGAGUACGACCGCAAGGUUGAAACUCAAAGGAAUUGACGGGGGCCCGCACAAGCGGUGGAGCAUGUGGUUUAAUUCGAAGCAACGCGAAGAACCUUACCAGGUCUUGACAUCCUUUGACCACUCUAGAGAUAGAGCUUCCCCUUCGGGGGCAAAGUGACAGGUGGUGCAUGGUUGUCGUCAGCUCGUGUCGUGAGAUGUUGGGUUAAGUCCCGCAACGAGCGCAACCCUUAUUGUUAGUUGCCAUCAUUCAGUUGGGCACUCUAGCAAGACUGCCGGUGACAAACCGGAGGAAGGUGGGGAUGACGUCAAAUCAUCAUGCCCCUUAUGACCUGGGCUACACACGUGCUACAAUGGGAAGUACAACGAGUCGCGAAGUCGCGAGGCUAAGCUAAUCUCUUAAAGCUUCUCUCAGUUCGGAUUGUAGGCUGCAACUCGCCUACAUGAAGCCGGAAUCGCUAGUAAUCGCGGAUCAGCACGCCGCGGUGAAUACGUUCCCGGGCCUUGUACACACCGCCCGUCACACCACGAGAGUUUGUAACACCCGAAGUCGGUGAG